CCUACGGGAGGCAGCAGUAAGGAAUAUUGGUCAAUGGACGAAAGUCUGAACCAGCCAUGCCGCGUGAAGGAUGAAGGUCCUCUGGAUUGUAAACUUCUUUUAUCUGGGACGAAAAAAGGGAAUUCUUUCUCACUUGACGGUACCAGAGGAAUAAGCACCGGCUAACUCCGUGCCAGCAGCCGCGGUAAUACGGAGGGUGCAAGCGUUAUCCGGAUUCACUGGGUUUAAAGGGAGCGUAGGUGGGUCUGUAAGUCAGUGGUGAAAUCUCCGAGCUUAACUCGGAAACUGCCAUUGAUACUAUAGAUCUUGAAUUAUCUGGAGGUAAGCGGAAUAUGUCAUGUAGCGGUGAAAUGCUUAGAUAUGACAUAGAACACCAAUUGCGAAGGCAGCUUACUACGGAUAUAUUGACACUGAGGCUCGAAAGCGUGGGGAUCAAACAGGAUUAGAUACCCUGGUAGUCCACGACCUAACCGACUAGAGUACUACGACACUACAGCGAUACACU
rnacentral:rRNA from 1 species